GACGAACGCUGGCGGCGUGCUUAACACAUGCAAGUCGAACGGAAAGGCCCUGCUUUUGUGGUGUGCUCGAGUGGCGAACGGGUGAGUAGCACGUGAGUAACCUGCCCUUGACUUUGGUAUAACUUCAGGAAACUGGGGCUAAUACCGGAUAGGAGCUCCUGCUGCAUGGUGGGGGUUGGAAAGUUUCGGCGGUUGGGGAUGGAUUCGCGGCUUAUGAGCUUGUUGGUGGGGUAGUGGCUGACCAAGGCUUUGACGGGUAGCCGGCAUGAGAGGGUGACCGGCCACAUGGGGACUGAGAUACGGACCAGACUCCUACGGGAGGCAGCAGGGGGGAAUAUUGCACAAUGGGAGGAAGCCUGAUGAAGAAACGCCGCGGGCGGGAUGACGGCCUGCGGGUUGUAAAACGCUGUCGCCUGUGACGAAGCGUGAGUGACGGUAAUGGGUAAAGAAGCACCGGCUAACUACGUG
rnacentral:rRNA from 1 species